rnacentral:rRNA from 1 species
GGUUAAGUUAGAAAGGGCGCACGGUGGAUGCCUUGGCACUAGGAGCCGAUGAAGGACGGGACGAACACCGAUAUGCUUCGGGGAGCUGUAAGCAAGCUUUGAUCCGGAGAUUUCCGAAUGGGGAAACCCACCACUCGUAAUGGAGUGGUAUCCAUAUCUGAAUACAUAGGAUAUGAGAAGGCAGACCCGGGGAACUGAAACAUCUAAGUACCCGGAGGAAGAGAAAGCAAAUGCGAUUCCCUGAGUAGCGGCGAGCGAAACGGGACCAGCCCAAACCAAGAGGCUUGCCUCUUGGGGUUGUAGGACACUCUGUACGGAGUUACAAAGGAACGAGGUAGAUGAAGAGGUCUGGAAAGGCCCGCCAUAGGAGGUAACAGCCCUGUAGUCAAAACUUCGUUCUCUCCUGAGUGGAUCCUGAGUACGGCGGAACACGUGAAAUUCCGUCGGAAUCCGGGAGGACCAUCCCCCAAGGCUAAAUACUCCCUAGUGACCGAUAGUGAACCAGUACCGUGAAGGAAAGCCGAAAAGA